rnacentral:rRNA from 1 species
AAUGAACGCUGGCGGCAUGCCUUACACGUGCAAGUCGAACGGCAGCAUGACCUAGCUUGCUAGGUUGAUGGCGAGUGGCGAACGGGUGAGUAAUGCAUCGGAACGUGCCUUUUAGUGGGGGAUAACGUAGCGAAAGUUACGCUAAUACCGCAUAUUCUCUGAGGAGGAAAGCAGGGGACCUUCGGGCCUUGCGCUAGAAGAGCGGCCGAUGUCGGAUUAGCUAGUUGGUGAGGUAAAGGCUCACCAAGGCAACGAUCCGUAGCGGGUCUGAGAGGAUGAUCCGCCACACUGGGACUGAGACAAGGCCCAGACUCCUACGGGAGGCAGCAGUGGGGAAUUUUGGACAAUGGGCGCAAGCCUGAUCCAGCCAUGCCGCGUGAGUGAAGAAGGCCUUCGGGUUGUAAAGCUCUUUCGGCUGGGAAGAAAUCGCACCCUCUAAUACAGGGUGUGGAUGACGGUACCAGCAUAAGAAGCACCGGCUAACUACGUG